UACGUAGGGCGCAAGCGUUGUCCGGAAUUAUUGGGCGUAAAGAGCUCGUAGGCGGCUUGUCACGUCGGAUGUGAAAGCCCGGGGCUUAACUCCGGGUCUGCAUUCGAUACGGGCUAGCUAGAGUGUGGUAGGGGAGAUCGGAAUUCCUGGUGUAGCGGUGAAAUGCGCAGAUAUCGGGAGGAACACCGGUGGCGAAGGCGGUUCUCUGGGCCUGUACUGACGCUGAGGAGCGAAAGCGUGGGGAGCGAACAGG
rnacentral:rRNA from 1 species